GCCCACGUGGCGGAAUGGCAGACGCUGCGGACUUAAAAUCCGUUGACCGUAAGGUCGUGGGAGUUCAAGUCUCCCCAUGGGCACCA
rnacentral:tRNA from 1 species